rnacentral:lncRNA from 1 species
AAAAAGAACACCAGAAACGGGAUAAGAUGAAUUCCCAACAGCUACAGCAGAUCCGACCUAACAAACAUCAACUAAAUUCAACAGGUUUAUCCUCGAACCAAACGAACCACAGUAAAGAAGCCUCGAAGAACUUGUAGCAACAAUUGCAAGCUGCUGAACAUUCAGCCUAUAGAGAACCUGAACUGUAGCAACAAUUGCAAGCUGCUGAACACGCAGCAAGCAACUAGAAGCUCACAAACAAUAGCAACAAACAAGUAGAACCUCUGAAUACUAUCAGCAAGUAAUUUGAACCUCGUGAUCAGCACCACUAUUGAAGUGCCUCAACUAGCAUCAAUCGCUUUGAUUAACAGCAAAAUCAGAAAACUAACUCCAGAACAGUAAAAGUAACAAGAUGAAGCCAGCAACCAGCAUCCCCAGCAUCUCCAGCACCAUCUUCAAUGGAGAUCAUCUUCUUCAGCGACCCGCAUCUCAAGCACCAUCUUCAGUGAAGAGCAAAAUCAAAAAGCUAACUCCAGAACAGUAAAGGUAACCAGAUCAAGCUAGCAACCACAUCAUCUUCCAUGAACAUCAUCUUCUUGUACAUGCGUUUCAAGCAGCUCCUCCUCGGCAGUUUCUUCAGUGCUAUCACCUCCUUGAAUCCUAAACCAUCAAUCAAGAACAAUCAAAACCUGAAUAUACUAGCAGCAAGCAGUACACAAGGGUAUGAACAGAUGAAGAAAAUCAUAACCUGAAGGGCAGCGCCCAGACUGCUGGCGCUACCGAUGAGGAGACCUCCUGAUCUGGAAAUGGUCGGUCGACCAAGCCGUGGGGCAGCCACACGCCCAUGUCAUUGUUAGGGUACACCUUGGGCCUGACCACAUCAAAGGUACUCGUGUCGAGGAAAUAAAUGCCAGAGCGCAGGUGCAGGUCCGAUGUAUUGAAGGAGCGUGAGCAGCCUCGCCCAACAAAGAUCAG